rnacentral:lncRNA from 1 species
AAAGGUGACCGAGCUCAAAGCCCAGCCUCCAAGUAUCACGACUGCCCUGUUCUAGAAAUCAUUUCUGGGAGGCUGCAUCAUGCUGCCUGAGUUCUACUAUCUCAGUGCCCAGCCACGCCCAGACCAGUGAGGUUCUGGGAGGUAGGGAUGGGCCAGGGGGUUGGGGUCUCCCAGAGCUCCAGAAGUGGCAACCUAAUUCCACUCAUGUCUCAUUCCUUGACUGGUGAGGUUGACUGUAACUUAUUAAAAAAAUGACUUCUGGGGGCCGGGCGUGCUGGGUUGUUUCUUAAGGAUUCAAAAUCCAAAGGUAGGUCUCUAGUGAGGGACAGUAGGGCUCUAGUCAUUCCAUCGAUGUGAUCGCUGGGCAAAGGGAGGGUGGAGGACCUUGGGCUGACCUCAGGGAUGGUGCCAGAGAGAACGUGUGCUCAUCCUGAAACUGCUGUGUGACUUGAGAGGUUUCCUGGUCCUCUCUGAGCAGGGCUCACCAUACCAGUGCCAGGUGGGACCUCCCUGCCAAGGAGCUGAGCCCAGAGCCCAGAGUAGGGUAUCAUGAGGACCUCUUCCCUCAGGCUCAGGGCAAGCUAGGACCUGCUUGAGGCUUGCAGGGGCAGUUAGGCCAUCUGUGCACCUCGUUGGGGUCUUGGCCCUCAUUGGACCCUCCAGUGCCUUCCCUGGCCAGGGCUGGGUGGGAGAUGGAGCUGCCAGCCUGCUGGAAAUUUUUCUCCCCCUGGGGCCCAGGGCUGGGAGCCAAGGGCAGCUGGUGCCCAGGAGGAGGGAGAAGGCCCCACGGGCUGGGCGUGCCAUGAACCACAUGUGAGAUCCGGGGCAUACAGGGAGGCAAUGGGGGUUUGAGGGCAGUGCUGGGGUUCCAGAGGGGGCAGGCCAGAGCCCCCCAACAUCGGCCAGGUGGCUGGGCCUCUGCCCUCGUGGGACCCAGGGAGGGUUUCCAUGUCCCUCUAAGCCUCAGAGGAAAUUCCAGAGGCAGAGAAAGAGAAGUUGGGAAAGGGAGCUCUUCACUCUGACAUCAGCUGAGGUAGAGGCGGAGACCACAGGGGCUCCAGGGGCGUCAGAGGACAGAGCAGCCUGUCCCCACACCUCUUACCCCCUGGGGACUGGGCCUGCCCCAGCCUGUUAGGAAGCCCUGGCCUGGCCUGCCGAGGGCCCCGUCCCCCUCCCAGGACCCGUGGCUUGCAGCCAGGUGGUGGGGAGAGGGGCCCAGGUGUGUGGUGUGGGUGGCAGGUGAGUGAUGGGCCCAGCAAGGCUGGCUCAGGCCCGGGGUCACCAGAGGGUUUGGUAGAGACUCUUCAGGCCCCCCACACCCUCCCCACCCUAUGCCCCUCCACCCUCCCACCUGGGCCUCAGGGAGGCAUCACAGGCACCUCUGCACCUCCACUGUACAGAUGGGGAAACUGAGGCUCAGAGAGCACCUGGGAUUCACCACCACCACCCACGUCUUGGUCUCCCCUGGCAAUUUUAUUUUACUUUAUUUUAUUUUAUAUAUAUAUAUUUUUUUUGAGACGGAGUCUUGCUCUGUCACCCAGGCUAGAAUGCAGUGGUGCAAUCUUGGCUCACUGCAACCUCCACCUCCUGGGUUCAAGUGAUUCUCGUACCUCAGCCUCCCAAGUAGCUGGGAUUACAGGCGCAUGUCACCACGCCAGGCUAAUUUUUGUAUUUUUAGUAGAGACGGGGUUUCACCAUGUUGGCCAGGCUGGUCUCCAACUCCUGACCUCAGGUGAUCUGCCCGCCUCCACCUCCUAAAGUGCUGAGAUUACAGGCGUGACCCAUUGCACCUGGCCUAUUAUUAUUGUUAUUUUUGAGAUGGAGUCUCACUGUGUCGCCCAAACCGGAGUGCAGUGGCGCCAUCUCAGCUCACUGCAAGCUCCACCUCCUGGGUUCACGCCAUCCUCCUGCCUCAGCCUCUGGAGCAGCUGGGACCAC